CACCGCCCGUCACACCACGAAAGUGUUCAUAACCAGAAGCAGCCGAGCUAACCCGCAAGGGAGGCAAGCUACCAAGGUUGUGGCUGCGAUUGGGGUG
rnacentral:rRNA from 1 species